GCUCCGGUGGUUUAGUGGUUAGAGUUUCCGCCUCGGAUUCGGGAGGUUGCUGGUUCAAACCCUGGCCGUGUAACA